CAAUGUAAAGGUUGUAGCUCCUAUAAAUUGUAUAAGUGAAAACAUGUAUUAAAAUAAUGCAAAUAUUAAAGGAACAGUUAACCCCCAAAUAAAAAUCGUCAUCCUUUACUCACCUCUUGUCAUUUCAAAUCUUUAUGGCUUUCUUCUUCAGAACACUGUAGAAGAUAUUUUGAAGAAGGAUGGUAACCAAACAACGACGGUGCCCAUUGGUUUGGUGUCUAUAUAAUAGAAGUGAAUGAGGACCAGCAUUGUUCGGUCACCAACAUUCUUCAAAAUAAUUUUUUUGUGUGUCAUGCUGAAGAAAGAAAGCUAUAUAGGUUUAAAAUAACAAGAGUGAGUGAAUGAUGACAGAAUGUUCAUUUUUGGAUAAACUAUCCCUUUAAUUGAUUUCUGUACCUAAUAUACAAUAAUUUGUAUCUGUUUGUAGGUCUCGUUAGGAAUGCUGCACUCAUUUUAUUGCCAGCACUAUUUAAAGAAAACGCCAGCUUCCUCUACUGUGUAGAUAGUGAACCCAAAGGUGCUACACCAACCAUAGUGUUUAACGGCUCUCCUGAUCCCCUCAAGGCUGAAAGUGUCAGCAUUAUAAUGGACAAUGUGAACAUCAUAAGAGAGGCAGACAUUGACAUGACACAGGCUGUGGAAUGCCUAUUUGCAGUCUAUUUUCUCUUCAAUGUGCAGUACCCGGUUGACAUUAAGCACACAAUGACUUUUAUUUAAAAAUAUAUGCUUAACCUUAGACAACAGCACGGCAAAAGAACACCAAUUCAUGUACUGAAAAUGUAUAGUCAACUUGUGUAAAUUGUAGAGCUAUUUAAUAGUUGUUUUAACUGUUCAUGUAUUGAUUUUUAUCUGCACUGUUAAAUAUAAAAAAUGAUUUGUUUUUCCUAAUUUCAGAGAUAUAUGUAAAAGUGAAGUACUGUAUAUGUACGUAAACAAGCUUAUGUAUGUUUAUUGCAAAGUGAAAAUGCUUAAAUGAAAUAAUUCAAACUAAAUGGUUAAAUGUAAUUAAACAUCUUAAAUAUGAAAUUUGCUGUCUAAUACAGAGUAUACAGAGGUGUAAUUUUAAAUGACACUAAAUUUUUUGUAUAAACAGUUGAAUAAAUUUAAACAUUUUAAAUUUUCUGGAUUGUUUAUAUUUUCUUAUUCAAUAAUAAUUUUAACUUGUUUAAUAAUAAAGAACUCUUAAAUGGUUCUAUAUAGAACCAUCUAACUUGGAUUCAAAGAACCAUUUGGGGUUCUUUUUAUGGAACCCAUUAAAGUGGUUCUAUAUAGAACCAUUUUGGAGUUCCAUAUAUGAAGCGGGUGAUAGAACCAUUUUUGGUUCUAAAUAGAACCAUUUCUUUUAAGAGUGUAGGACCUUGGUUUCCAAAUCAAAUACAAAACUUGCAACAGUCCAGUUCUUCUUCUCCUUAGCCCAGGUAAGACGCCUCUGACGUUGUCUGUGAUACAGGAGUGAAUUAACAAGAGGAAUAUGAUAAUACAAUAAGUCACUUUUAUAAAAGGUUUCCUAAUACUAUAGUUAAUAUAUAGUUAACUCCGGAUUCAAGAAUUAGCCUUUUAUUAGUGAAAC
ensembl:lncRNA